rnacentral:rRNA from 1 species
GUCUAUGGCCAUGCUACCCAGAACAUGCCCGAUCCUGUCUGAUCUCACAAGCUAAGCAGAGUUGGGCCUGGUUAGUACUUGGAUGGGAGACCAGGUGCUGUAGACG